rnacentral:rRNA from 1 species
CCUACGGGUGGCUGCAGUCGAGAAUCUUCGGCAAUGGGCGCAAGCCUGACCGAGCGACGCCGCGUGCGGGAUGAAGGCCUUCGGGUUGUAAUCCGCUGUCGUAGGGGAAGAAAUGGUCAUGGGUACUCCCAUGGCUUUGACUGAUCCUAGGAGGAAGUGCAGGCUAACCUCGUGCCAGCAGCCGCGGUAAGACGAGGUGCACAAACGUUAUUCGGAUUUACUGGGCUUAAAGCGUGCGUAGGCGGCCUGGCAAGUUGGGUGUGAAAUCCCUCGGC